rnacentral:piRNA from 1 species
GACAAUAAUUGUGGCUUCUGUUUCGCAGA